GGCGAAAUGGCUCAGUGGGUAAGAGCACCCGACUGCUCUUCUGAAGGUCCAGAGUUCAAAUCCCAGCAACCACA
rnacentral:tRNA from 1 species